CAGGGAAGUUAGCGGUACACAAAUACCCGCGGCCUCAAGCCUGUGCUUAUCAGCCUGCUGCACGUUUUACAGCUAUCUACGCAGGCCAUAUGUGUGAUGGGCAGUGCUGACAUCAGAAAGUUUCACUCAGCCGAAACCCCUUCCUCUCUCCUUCGGAAAUGUUUUGUCCCUUCAUCAGUGGUGCUGGCAGCAAGCAGCACAAGAGUUUGAAGUACUGCAAUUAUCUGGUACGGCAGUGGGUCAAACAGCCGUGCAGGCUCCUCUGUGAAUCACGUGUGCUGGGAAGAAGGAAUUGCUGACAUACACCAGAUGAACUAGCAUUACCAUCCUUCCAUAAAGAUUUUUUUUUCUUCUACUUCCCCAAAAUGGAAAGUUCGUGCAGUCCGCAGAACAGCCUCGCCGCGCCGGAAGGUUCCCGUCCUUGCAGCCUGGCAGCCUGCUCCGGCUUGCAGAUUCCUCUGCGGGUUGCGUGUGUUGUUCCCACAGCGCGCCCGCCCUGACCCGAGGCAGGGCCGUGGAGACUCCUGCGGGAGCACCAGAGUUGGAUGAACUUUGACAGAUUGUCUCCUCUGAGGACUUUGGCCCUGCACGGCAUCCUCUCCACACCGUCCCUGAGGCCAUCUGUCACUGAGCUAGCAGACUUGCAUGUGUGUGAUGACGCUGAUUUUCUGACUGAGAAAGCAGACGUGCAGCGUGCUUUCCCGAAAGCAAUGGCACGGUCUUCGUACCACGUGCAGCCAGCUGCUGCGUAAGGGUUUGAGCCAAAGCCCAGGGAGUCGGAGGGAACCUCUCCUCGGACAUCAGGAGCCUUCGGAGCCCUUCCGCAGGGGCUCAGUGUCUUUGAGCAGUACCUUUGGUAGUGAAGGACGCGAUUUGGCCGGUGACCUUCCGAAGAGGCUUCAGAAGAUUGUACCCAGCUCAUACUUCUCAUUAAUCUAGCUUUGAUUUUCAUCACCGUUCCACUUAAGAAACCCAUUAGGAUCUCGUUUAGCUUGUUUUGUUUUGUUUUGUUUUUUUAUCUUACUGUGAUUUUGAUUUUGUUGCCAAUACCUUUCUCAUAGCUUCUGGAGACAAACCAAUAGCUUUAAAGAUUAGUAGCCUGCCCAGAUGCCUGCAGGAUCUCCAUAUCUGAUAAAAUACCCAUAAUUUACAAAUCUUUUAAAAUUUGGAAGCAUGUGGGGACUGCAGCAAAAGAACUUCUGUUUUAACAAAGUAGAGAACUCUUUUCAGUAUUUUUUUGUAAAAAUAAUCUCUAUACUUCUGCAACAUUGUUCUGCCUUUCUCACCAGUUCUAAUGAAGGUGAAACCCUCACAUUAGCUCUGUAGUAAGACACAACUCAGGCCUUUGUUCAUUCCUUAAUUUCUAGUUAAGAAAGUUGUAGGAUUUAUGUAUGCUGAAUGGAAGAUACAGCUCUCUCAGUGUUAUAUAAAGAUUGAAAACAAGUAAUCUUUAAAAACAUAAUUCCAGUGACAAUGCAUAAUCCCAGUAAUUAACUAUACUGUGUAACUCAUAGUAUACCUCUCUAUGCAGAAAUGCAUCUUGCUCUCAAGAAACAUACUUUAUAUUUGCAGUUUUCAAGACAAAUCAACAAAAGAUGCUAAACCUUAAAGCCAGUGACCUCCUGCAGCUGUCCAGCAACCUGCUUGUCUUCCAUUCCUGUUGGCUGGGUGGGGUAAAAAGCCUAUAGGGGAAAAGCUCUUCAAGUCCAACGGACAUCGUGAUACCGAUUUGGAGCUGCAUGGCAGCCUCCGUACAUCAUCUUUGCAUUAAUUAAGCUGUUUCUUUAUAUUUUCCUUUCAUUUCUUGCCUGUUAGCAUGGUCUUAUGGAUUCUUCCCUGUAGCUGGAGCCAUUGCAGGUUAGCUUUAAGCUCUGCUCUCAAUUUUGCAGAGGCAACUGCUAUCCAAGUCAUCCUGGUAGCUGUGGGGAUAUGCUUGUUACAUGGUACUUCUUUGCCUACUUUGCAGCUUGCAAAGGGAGAAUAAUUGUAGAGGAAAACAUCUAGGAGCAAUUAGAGCAGGUCCUUUGAGGAAUCUAAUUGUGCAAUACCUCUUUCUACCUUA